ensembl:lncRNA
CACCUCUCUAGCCAAAGUAAAGAAGUGUGUUUAUGGGUUCAUUCCAGGCGUGUGUAAAGGAUGGUGUCUCUGUAGUGUAAAAUAUGUGCUGUCUUACUUUGCUGAACUGAACGGCACUAUACCAUUUUAUAUUCUAUAUAUCAUAGCUUUCCACAUAACCUGGGGUCUAACUAUGGAAACAUAUAUGAAAUCUUUCAAAUACAAUCCCAAAUAGUAUUAAUUUGUAAAUGUUCAGUCUAUCCAAUGAGGAGUUGCAAAGUGAUCCAACUUCCUGAUAGCAGUAUAUCACAGUACAUGGGUGGUGUGCCACGGACCUUUGUCAGAUUUGGAAAAUAAAAACCUUGGAGUUUGAUUUAGACAUUCUAAGAGCAGUUAGUUUUAAUUUACAUUUGGAGUUUUUUUUAGGCUGUCGCUUUUGAAUUCCUGACAGUCUAAUUUGUUUGCAUUUGAAAAACGUGGUGGAAAGGUUUAUACUUUAUACUUUCUCUGGGUGGUGACGCAGUCUCAGACUGUUCCAUGUUAAGAAACACUGAAAUAACAAGGUUUCAGUCAAAAGCCCAGAAUAUUACGCCAAUAACAUAUCUUCCUGCGUUAAUUGAAUUCAGCUACCAAAGAGGGUAUUUCAGCUUCAGCAAACAUGAAACCCGAUGGGUUUUUUCUCUGUUUGAUUUGAAUGUGAUUGAACUGAAUUAAAACCCGAAUCAGACAUUUGAUCAACCAAAGAAUGGUGUAAGCCAUGGACGCAAAACGAUUAGUUAACACAUUCCCUGAAGAAAUGCAAGUACAGGGCUCAGGACAGACUGAAGUUCUGCACAUGAAAGAAACUCAAACCUAGGAUUUGAGGCGCUUCACAUCUCUCCAAACGGUAAUAAAAUAAGCCUGUACGCCUGGGCAAGUAUAUCUAUCUUCCGUCUGGAAAUGCUUUGGAUAUCUUGGCACUGGGGCGAGAUUGUAUUUUGUGCUGUAGUGCUUUUGUUGAAAAAUGAGAACCCCAUUGUAAAAUGGAGCUUUAAAGGCAGAGCAGGGUGCUUCUGUUAUUUAUUAGGCUCCUCCACCAAUCACCCUCCAUCAUCCACACGGUCACCUCUGUCCUCCAUCACUGAGGUGUGUGUAUGUGUGCUCAUUACGUGAAGUUACGUAGACACCCUCAUUCAAAACACCUGGUCCAUCCACACCAGCUGAUAAACAUUGCAGCACAGUAGGCCUGCACACAAUGGACGACGUGGAAGGCUCUGCAGGAGAGAGAGGGGAGGAGAACGAGGCACUGUGGUUUACUGCAAGACCUUUAAUCAGGCACAUACAAGAGGGUGGAGCAUACCUGUGAAUGGACUGAGUGUGUGUGCCGGUCUUCAUAUGUGUUUCUUCGUCUGUGUGUGUGUUUCUUCGUAGGUCUGUGUGUGUGUUUCUUCGUAGGUCUGUGUGUGUGCCGGUCUUCAUAUGUGUUUCUUCGUCUGUGUGUGUGUUUCUUCGUAGGUCUGUGUGUGUGUGUGUGUGUGUGUGUGUGUGUCUUCAUACGCCUGUGUGUGUGUGUGCGUUGGUGCACAUCCAUCCCUGAUGAUUUUCAGGUUGUUUACAGUGGACCCUGCCAGAGCAGGUGUCAGCUGUGUUUAUGCUCUGGCAUAAAACUCAGGCAAACCCACCUGGGGAGGAAAGACUUGAAGCUUUACUUAUUGCCCCAACAAACAGCUUUUAGUUUCCAGGGAAUUAUUUGUGAGGCCAUUUUCUUUUUGUCUGUGUCCUGGAGUGAACUCACCAUGUCCUCAUUUCCAGGCUAUGCAUCUGACCUUACAUACUUUUAUUUUUGGUUAGAGAUAGAACAACAAUGAUUUCAAUGUGACAAACCCUUUGAGACACAGUGAUACUGUUUUGAAUGGUUUGAAAACUGAGAGUUUUGUCUGACAACUUCUAAAUAUGGAUGCUGUAGAACUCAUUUCCACAGAACAUAUUGGUGGUUUGUCUGAAUUUCAUUUGUUUAAAUUCUAGGCCAGAUAAUUUUAGGAUGAGCAAAGCUUAGUUUAAAUUAAGGAGACACGGGACCGACAGUCCCAGACUAUCGGGAAUGACAGUGCCAGAUCUGACCUGGCAACUGGAGGGCUGCUAGGCUUAGAUCGUGACAUUGUUUCCCUGAAAAAAUAUAUAAAUAAUAAUGUAAUAAAACUAUUUUUGGGGGUG